rnacentral:rRNA from 1 species
AUUGAACGCUGGCGGCAGGCUUAACACAUGCAAGUCGAGCGGAGCGAGGGUGCUUGCACCUUAGCUUAGCGGCGGACGGGUGAGUAAUGCUUAGGAAUCUGCCUAUUAGUGGGGGACAACAUUCCGAAAGGAAUGCUAAUACCGCAUACGCCCUACGGGGGAAAGCAGGGGAUCUUCGGACCUUGCGCUAAUAGAUGAGCCUAAGUCGGAUUAGCUAGUUGGUGGGGUAAAGGCCUACCAAGGCGACGAUCUGUAGCGGGUCUGAGAGGAUGGUCCGCCAAACUGGGACUGAGACACGGCCCAGACUCCUACGGGAGGCAGCAGUGGGGAAUAUUGGACAAUGGGCGGAAGCCUGAUCCAGCCAUGCCGCGUGUGUGAAGAAGGCCUUUUGGUUGUAAAGCACUUUAAGCGAGGAGGAGGCUCUUAAGGUUAAUACCCUUGAUGAGUGGACGUUACUCGCAGAAUAAGCACCGGCUAACUCUGUGCCAGCCGCCGCGGUAACAC